AGUGAACGCUGGCGGUAGGCCUAACACAUGCAAGUCGAACGGCAGCACAGUAAGAGCUUGCUCUUACGGGUGGCGAGUGGCGGACGGGUGAGGAAUACAUCGGAAUCUACUUUUUCGUGGGGGAUAACGUAGGGAAACUUACGCUAAUACCGCAUACGACCUACGGGUGAAAGCAGGGGAUCUUCGGACCUUGCGCGAUUGAAUGAGCCGAUGUCGGAUUAGCUAGUUGGCGGGGUAAAGGCCCACCAAGGCGACGAUCCGUAGCUGGUCUCAGAGGAUGAUCAGCCACACUGGAACUGAGAGACGGUCCAGACUCCUACGGGAGGCAGCAGUGGGGAAUAUUGGACAAUGGGCGCAAGCCUGAUCCAGCCAUACCGCGUGGGUGAAGAAGGCCUUCGGGUUGUAAAGCCCUUUUGUUGGGAAAGAAAAGCAGCAGGUUAAUACCCCGCUGUUCUGACGGUACCCAAAGAAUAAGCACCGGCUAACUUCGUG
rnacentral:rRNA from 1 species